rnacentral:rRNA from 1 species
UACGAAGGGGGCUAGCGUUGUUCGGAAUCACUGGGCGUAAAGGGUGCGUAGGCGGGUCUUUAAGUCAGGGGUGAAAUCCUGGAGCUCAACUCCAGAACUGCCUUUGAUACUGAAGAUCUUGAGUCCGGGAGAGGUGAGUGGAACUGCGAGUGUAGAGGUGAAAUUCGUAGAUAUUCGCAAGAACACCAGUGGCGAAGGCGGCUCACUGGCCCGGUACUGACGCUGAGGCACGAAAGCGUGGGGAUCAAACAGG